rnacentral:rRNA from 1 species
CCUACGGGAGACAGCAGUGAGGAAUAUUGGUCAAUGGACGAGAGUCUGACCCAGCCACGUAGCGUGAAGGAUGACUGCCCUCUGGGUUGUAAACUUCUUUUAUAUGGGAAUAAAACGUUCCACGUGUGGGAUUUUGUAUGUACCAUAUGAAUAAGGAUCGGCUAACUCCGUUCCAGCAGCCGCGGUAAUACGGAGGAUCCGAGCGUUAUCCGGAUUUAUUGGGUUUAAAGGGAGCGUAGGUGGAUUGUUAAGUCAGUUGUGAAAGUUUGCGGCUCAACCGUAAAAUUGCAGUUGAAACUGGCAGUCUUGAGUACAGUAGAGGUGGGCGGAAUGCGAGGUGUAGCGGUGAAAUGCGUAGAUAUCACGAAGAACUCCGAUUGCGAAGGCAGUUCACUGGACUGCAACUGACACUGAGGCUCGAAAGUGUGGGUAUCAAACAGGAUUAGAUACCCCUGUAGUC